GUGAGUGGCGAACGGGUGAGUAACACGUGGACAACCUGCCUCAAGGCUGGGGAUAACAUUUGGAAACAGAUGCUAAUACCGAAUGAAACUUAGUGUCGCAUGAUACGAAGUUAAAAGGCGCUUUGGCGUCACCUAGAGAUGGAUCCGCGGUGCAUUAGUUAGUUGGUGGGGUAAAGGCCUACCAAGACAAUGAUGCAUAGCCGAGUUGAGAGACUGAUCGGCCACAUUGGGACUGAGACACGGCCCAAACUCCUACGGGAGGCUGCAGUAGGGAAUCUUCCACAAUGGGCGAAAGCCUGAUGGAGCAACGCCGCGUGUGUGAUGAAGGCUUUCGGGUCGUAAAGCACUGUUGUAUGGGAAGAACAGCUAGAAUAGGGAAUGAUUUUAGUUUGACGGUACCAUACCAGAAAGGGACGGCUAAAUACGUGCCAGCAGCCGCGGUAAUACGUAUGUCCCGAGCGUUAUCCGGAUUUAUUGGGCGUAAAGCGAGCGCAGACGGUUGAUUAAGUCUGAUGUGAAAGCCCGGAGCUCAACUCCGGAAUGGCAUUGGAAACUGGUUAACUUGAGUGCAGUAGAGGUAAGUGGAACU
rnacentral:rRNA from 1 species